CUUGCAUGCAGAAGGAUGGUGGUUCGAAUCCUGGCAUCCUAUAUGACCCCGAGCCUGUCAGGAGUGAUUUCUGAGCAUAGAGCCAGGAGUAAACCCUGAGUGCUGCUGG